UACGGAGGAUGCGAGCGUUAUCCGGGAAUUACUGGGCGUAAAGGGUGCGUAGGUGGUUUCUUAAGUCAGAGGUGAAAGGCUACGGCUCAACCGUAGUAAGCCUUUGAAACUGGGAAACUUGAGUGCAGGAGAGGAGAGUGGAAUUCCUAGGGUAGCGGUGAAAUGCGUAGAUAUUAGGAGGAACACCAGUUGCGAAGGCGGCUCUCUGGACUGUAACUGACACUGAGGCACGAAAGCGUGGGGAGCAAACAGGAUUAGAUACCCUGGUAGUCCCUGA
rnacentral:rRNA from 1 species